UAAGGAAUAUUGCUCAAUGGGAGAAAUCCUGAAGCAGCAACGCCGCGUGGAGGAUGUAGGGUCUAUGACUUGUAAACUCCUGUAAAGAAGGAAAAAAUUCCCAUUUGAUGGGAGAUGAUGGUACUUCUGGAGUAAGCCCCGGCUAACUACGUGCCAGCAGCCGCGGUAAUACGUAGGGGGCAAGCGUUGUCCGGAUUUACUGGGCGUAAAGCGCGUGCAGGUGGUUUCGUAAGUUGGAUGUGAAAGCUCCUGGCUUAACUGGGAGAGGUCGUUCAAAACUGCGAGGCUUGAGAGUGGUAGAGGGAGGUGGAAUUCCGGGUGUAGUGGUGAAAUGCGUAGAUAUCCGGAGGAACACCAGUGGCGAAAGCGGCCUCCUGGACCAUUUCUGACACUCAGACGCGAAAGCUAAGGUAGCAAACG
rnacentral:rRNA from 1 species